UACAGAGGGUGCAAGCGUUAAUCGGAUUUACUGGGCGUAAAGGGCUCGUAGGCGGCCAACUAAGUCGGAUGUGAAAUCCCCAGGCUCAACCUGGGAACUGCAUCCGAUACUGGAUGGCUUGAAUUCGGGAGAGGGAUGCAGAAUUCCAGGUGUAGCGGUGAAAUGCGUAGAUAUCAGGAGGAAUACCGAUGGCGAAGGCAGGUCUCUGGGCUAUAACUGACGCUCAUGCACGAAAGCGUGGGGAGCAAACAGG
rnacentral:rRNA from 1 species